CGAGCGCCUCCCAGCUACGACGGAGGCGCGGCGCACAGCUCAGUAACACGUGGCUAACCUGCCCUCGGGACGGGAAUACCCCCGGGAAACUGGGGCUAAUUCCCGAUAGGUGAAGAACUCUGGAAUGAGUCUCCGCCCAAAAGACGCUUAAAUCAUGCUUUUAGGCGCCGCCCAAGGAUGGGGCCGCGGCCGAUCAGGUUGUUGGUGUGGUAAUGGCUCACCAAGCCUUUUACCGGUGCGGGCCAUGAGAGUGGUAGCCCGGAGAUGGACACUGAGACAAGGGUCCAGGCCCUACGGGGCGCAGCAGGCGCGAAACCUCCUCAAUGCACUAAAGUGCGAAGGGGUUACCUCGAGUGCCAUCUGAAAAAGGUGGCUUUUCCUUGGUCUAAAAAGCCUAGGGAAUAAGAGGGGGGCAAGACUGGUGUCAGCCGCCGCGGUAACACCAGCCCCUCGAGUGGUGGGGAUGAUUAUUUGGCCUAAAGCGUCCGUAGCCGGCCGGGUAAGUUUCCCGUUAAAUCCAACGUCUCAAGCGUUGGACUGCGGGAAAUACUGCCUGGCUAGAGAGUGGGAGAGGUCAGCGGUAUUCUGGGGGUAGGGGCGAAAUCCUUUGAUCCCCGGAGGACCACCAGUGGCGAAGGCUGCUGACUAGAACACGUCUGACGGUCAGGGACGAAAGCUGGGGUAGCGAACCGGAUUAGAUACCCGGGUAGUCCCAGCCGUAAACGAUGCAUGCUAGGUGGUUGGGUUGGCCACGAGCCACCCCAGUGCCGCAGGGAAGCCGUUAAGCAUGCCGCCUGGGAAGUACGAUCGCAAGAUUGAAACUUAA
rnacentral:rRNA from 1 species